UACGUAGGUGGCAAGCGUUGUCCGGAUUUACUGGGCGUAAAGAGCGCGCAGGCGGUCGUUCAAGUCGAGUGUGAAAGCCCCCGGCUCAACUGGGGAGGGUCAUUCGAUACUGAUCGACUGGAAGGCAGGAGAGGGAAGCGGAAUUCCCGGUGUAGUGGUGAAAUGCGUAGAUAUCGGGAGGAACACCAGUGGCGAAGGCGACUUCCUGGCCUGUUCUUGACGCUGAGGCGCGAAAGCUAGGGGAGCAAACGGGG
rnacentral:rRNA from 1 species